rnacentral:rRNA from 1 species
CGUGUAGGCGGGUCUUUAAGUCAGGGGUGAAAUGCCAAGGCUCAACCUUGGAACUGCCUUUGAUACUGGAGAUCUUGAGUCCGGGAGAGGUGAGUGGAACUGCGAGUGUAGAGGUGAAAUUCGUAGAUAUUCGCAAGAACACCAGUGGCGAAGGCGGCUCACUGGCCCGGAACUGACGCUGAGACGCGAAAGCGUGGGGAGCAAACAGGAUUAGAUACCCUGGUAGUCCACGCUGUAAACGAUGGAUGCUAGCCGUUGGGGAGCUUGCUCUUCAGUGGCGCAGCUAACGCUUUAAGCAUCCCGCCUGGGGAGUACGGUCGCAAGAUUAAA